CCCUGGUUAGCUCAAUUGGUAGAGCGCUCCAUCUGUAAUGGAGAGGUCCCGGGUUCGAUACCCGGACCAGGCG
rfam:Ixodes scapularis strain Wikel colony gcontig_1108379524586, whole genome shotgun sequence.